GACGAACGCUGGCGGCGUGCUUAACACAUGCAAGUCGAACGGUGAAGCGCUUGCCUUUUUGGUGGGUGUGGAUGAGUGGCGAACGGGUGAGUAACACGUGAGUAACCUGCCCUCUUCUUCUGGAUAACCUCAUGAAAGUGGGGCUAAUACGGGGUAUUCCGGGUCUGUCGCAUGGCGGGUUUGGGAAAGAUUGCGCCUUUGGGGGUUUUCGGUGGGGGAUGGGCUCGCGGCCUAUCAGCUUGUUGGUGGGGUGAUGGCCUACCAAGGCGGUGACGGGUAGCCGGCCUGAGAGGGUGGACGGCCACACUGGGACUGAGACACGGCCCAGACUCCUGCGGGAGGCAGCAGUGGGGAAUAUUGCACAAUGGGCGCAAGCCUGAUGCAGCGACGCCGCGUGAGGGAUGGAGGCCUUCGGGUUGUGAUCCUCUUUCGCCAGUGAAGCAGGCCUGCUCCUGUGUGGGUGGGUUGACGGUAGCUGGAUAAGAAGCGCCGGCUAACUACGUG
rnacentral:rRNA from 1 species